rnacentral:lncRNA from 1 species
CAGGCCCUUAUGCAGGGACUGAGCACACAAUUAACAGUUCAGAGCCCAGGCCCUUAUGCAGAGACUGAGCACACAAUUAACAGCUCCGGCCCUGGGUCAGGGCGGGGCAGCACACCAAUAGUCAGUCAGUGGCCCAGGCCUUGUAGCAGGGGCUGGGUCAGUUUGGGUUAGCCCAGGCCCUAGGUCAGGGCGGGGCAGCAAAUCAAUAGUCAGUCAGGGGCCCAGGCCCCUUGGACAAGGAGGAGGAGAGACUGCCACCCGGCGCGGGGUGGCAGGGGGGAACACAGGCCCACCCACUCCACUGUGUUCCAGCCCGGGGCCCUAUCCGCAGCAGUCCAUCUGCCGCGCAGUCAGUGGGGAUCCUGACCGCAACACACUGACAUGGGUUCGGGGUCUGCUAUUCCCGGGCCACUUCCCAUCUCCUCCUCCAUGGGUACCUGCUCCUCCUGAGUUCCGUCUGCUGGGUCGCAGAUCAUGGGCUCCUCCGGGCCCCGAGCACCAGGUAGGUCUGUCGCUCCCUCUGGGCCCUCGGCGGGGGGAAGCUCAGGCCGCUCCUCGGGGUACCGGGCUCUCGGCAGGCUCGGCCAGUCCUCCUCAGGAUACCGGGCUCUCGGCAGGCUCGGCCAGUCCUCCUCAGGGUACCGGGCUCUCGGCAGGCUCGGCCAGUCCUCCUCGGGGUACCGGGCUCUCGGCAGGCUCGGCCAGUCCUCCUCGGGGUACCGGGCUCUCGGCAGGCUCAGGUCCGCGGGAGCUCAGGCACCAGCGUCUGUCCUCUCCCGCUGCCGGCCAGCUACUGAGCGCUGGGGCCUGGCCUUUAUACUUCCUGUCCCGCCCCUUGACUUCCGGGGGGCGGGGACAGGCCACGGUGGCUCCACCCACUCUGGCGGCUUUUCUGACUCAUCGCUUCCUGGGGCGCCUGGAAGCCAGGCUGCCCCGCUACAGGUGGGUUAAAAAACUCUUGGUGGGUAUUGUUGGGGCCAUAGUAAUCCUUAUAAUACUGUGUUGNNNNNNNNNNCGGGCUCGGCCAGUUCUUCUCAGGAUACCGGGCUUUUGGCAGGCUCGGCCAGUCCUCCUCAGGGUACCGGGCUCUCGGCAGGCUCGGCCAGUCCUCCUCAGGGUACCGGGCUCUCGGCAGGCUCAGGUCCGCGGGAGCUCGGGCACCAACGUCUGUCCUCUCCCGCUGCCGGCCAGCUACUGAGCGCUGGGGCCUGGCCUUUAUACUUCCUGUCCUGCCCCUUGACUUCCGGGGGGCGGGGACAGGCCGCGGUGGCUCUGCCCACUCUGGCGGCUUUUCUGGCUCAUCGCUUCCUGGGGCGCCUGGAAGCCAGGCCGCCCCGCUACAGGG